rnacentral:lncRNA from 1 species
AUGUCAUUGUGUUCCCUGGGACAGCUUCAAGGACGGGGGAAGAAUCGGGCAGCGGGCCUUCUCCACCUCUCCACUCGAGUCCUGCUUGGCCAGGGCUGGCCUCGGUCCUCUCCUGUCAUCUGGACAACCAGCAUCAACUUUGGCCCCACUGACAUCAUGAAAAUGAACGUGUUAGUCACUCGGUCGUGUCUGACUCUUUGCAACCCUAUGGACGUAGCCCGCCAGCCUCCUCUGUCCUUGGGAUUCUCCAGGCCCCGACACAGACUCUCCCCCGCCUGGUCCCACACAGAGAACACAGCCUUGCAGAUCCAGGCCUGGACAUCUGGACCAGACAGUGACGGGCUCACCUCCAGAUGAUGCCCGGAUAAGUUCCAGCUGUUUCGCUGAGCCUCAUGGACUGUCUUCAUUGUCAUUGUCAUCAGCAAGAUCCAGACAUGACUGCAGGCUCCUCAAUAAACACCUUCCCAGUCGGCCAGAUCGGAUUUGAAGACGCGCUCUGGGAAAAGGCUGCUGACAGGAGCCCCCGGCCAGAAUCCUCUAGUAAUGCCAGAUUCCCUUGUGAUUACUUCCUGAUUUUGUUUAAUGAAUGAAAUUAGACACGGUGUGGAAUUUCCUAAAUCACAAACACAUUUAUUCGGGGGACAGUGAUAGAAGUGUGUGUGUGAGGUGUGAGGCCCGUGUGCUCAGAACAGGGCGCGUGAAUCUGGUCACGCAUUUGACUUUGUCACCCUGGGGUCAGCGGCCCCGCACGUGACAUGCAGGUUGGAGGGAAGUUGCCUACAAAUGAGAAGAAUGUUGCUUCUGUUUUCAGCCUGUCCUCCGACUCCCUUGGAGCGGCCGCAUCAGAGCCGGAUGGGGGUUUCUCAUCUUCCUCCAGGCGAGUCCCGCAGCCUUGGGGUCUGCUCUUGUUCCAUCUCCCGCCUGCGGGCUGGACAACUGCAGACUAAGCUGUGGGCACCCCAGAGCCAGGGCGCCAGCUCUGCCACAGGCUGCCUGCCUGGCAGCGGGGAAGCCGUGGGACCUCUUUCAAUCUCAAGGUUUUAAGGGCAUGAUGGAACUUCCCUGGUGUCCAGUGGCUAAGACUCUGAGCUCCAAAUUCAGGGGGCCUGGGUUGAUCCCUGAUCAGGGACCUAGAUCUCACAGGCCCUGCUGCUAAGAGUUUGCAUCCCAUAACUAGGGUCCGGCACAGCCAAAUAAAUAAGUUAAUUAA